AUUGAACGCUGGCGGUAUGCUUAACACAUGCAAGUCGAACGGUAGCAGGCCUUCGGGCGCUGACGAGUGGCGGACGGGUGAGUAACGCGUAGGAAUCUGCCUGUUAGUGGGGGACAACGUGUGGAAACGCACGCUAAUACCGCAUACGCCCUACGGGGGAAAGAAGGGGACCUUCGGGCCUUUCGCUAACAGAUGAGCCUGCGUUGGAUUAGCUAGUUGGUAGGGUAAAGGCCUACCAAGGCGACGAUCCAUAGCUGGUCUGAGAGGACGAUAAGCCACACGGGGACUGAGACACGGCCCAGACUCCUACGGGAGGCAGCAGUGGGGAAUAUUGGACAAUGGGCGCAAGCCUGAUCCAGCAAUACCGCGUGUGUGAAGAAGGCCCUAGGGUUGUAAAGCACUUUCAAUAGGGAGGAAAACCUGUCGGUCAAUACCCGGCAGCUUGACAUUACCUAUACAAGAAGCACCGGCUAACUCCGUGCCAGCCGCCGCCGUAACAC
rnacentral:rRNA from 1 species